UGUGUCAGGGUACGGGUCUGUAGGGACUGUAAAGGACCAGGUAUGUCAGGGUAGGGGUUCUCUAGGGACCGUAAAGGACCAGGUGUGUCAGGGUAGGGGUUCUGCAGGGCCAGGUGUGUCAGGGUAGGGGUUCUGCAGGGCCAGGUGUGUCAGGGUAGGGGUUCUGCAGGGCCAGGUGUGUCAGGGUAGGGGUUCUGCAGAGCCAGGUGUAUCAGGGUAGGGGUUCUGCAGGGCCAUGUGUAUCAGGGUAGGGGUUCUGCAGGGCCAGGUGUAUCAGGGUAGGGGUUCUGCAGAGCCAGGUGUGUCAGGGUAGGGGUUCUGCAGGGCCAGGUGUGUCAGGGUAGGGGUUCUGCAGAGCCAGGUGUAUCAGGGUAGGGGUUCUGCAGGGCCAGGUGUAUCAGGGUAGGGGUUCUGCAGGGACUGUAAAGGACCUGGGGUCUCAUUUAUAAACGUAGGGUUUU